CAAAAAAGGAUGCAAGAAGACGGAGCUGCAGCAGAACAUCCUGUGAGCGGCUUGAAUUUUAUACACUCUGAUUAGGAAAAUGGGCAAUGAGAGAAGGCAAAGGUCGCCAGGCUGGGAAUCGAACCUGCGACGGCCGCAUCGAGGACUAAGGUCUCCAUAUAUACGGGUAGCACUUAACCCCUGCGCCACCACAGCAGGUAAAAAGUUUUGAUGCCACUUCAUGAAGGUUUCCUGUUGCCUUUUUUUUUUUUUUUUAAUUCAUAGCUCGUUCAAAAACCCAAAUCAGAUCAAUAUGCCAGCAAAACACUGAAAUCCCCCUUUUCGUUAGCAGCAGCAUGUUGUAAUUUGUCUCCACCCAUCAACCAUCUGUCAGCUUUCAUGUAUGACUCACACAUGCAGAUUAUGGAAAUACAGACUAAUCACAUCCACGGAGAAGCAGCUUAAUUUAAAAAAUACGACUCAAAUCUUUGAAAGCAAGAUUUCUCAUUUCAACAGAAAGUCUCUGGAUUUUUAUGCACAAGAGCUAAAAAAAAAAUAUAUUAAUAAAGUGCAACUUGCAGGGAGAUUUCGGAAAAGAAAUACCUCGAACUGAAGGUUGAGACUGGGGUGUCCAAAGAGCGGCCCAGAGGCCAUUUGUGGCCCUUGGGCUAAUUUUAUGUGGCCCACAAGUGCAAUUAAGAAAUGAUACAAAUGCAGAUGGAGACUUUUUGUUACCAACAUGAUUUUCCUGAACAGGGAAAUACAAAGUACAACACAAACUAUUUAGUUUUAAUAAAAAGGUUAAACCAAGUUUAUCCACAGACUUCUUAUGAAAAGCUGCGUCCAAUUCUUUCUUAAAUUUGGCUAAAUAUAGCGAAAGUUUUAAAAGGAAGUAAAUCUUUUUAUUAUGACUGAAAAUAAAUAAAACAAUUUAAAAGAAACUGAAAACAUAAUGUCUUUCUGUCAAUCCAGCAAACAUGCAAACUUAAAGUAUUAAUAAGUAGUAAAGUUCUGCAAAAAAUCUCAGAAAUUUGCUAAAAAAAUAAAUUAAAUUUUUAGAUUAAUAUCAGAAUUCUUCCACAAUAAACUUUAAAAUUUCUUAAUUUCAAAUGUCAAAAAUGUUCUAGAAAAUGUCAGAGUUUUUCAGAGAUUAAUCACAAAAUUUCAGAGUUUUUGGCAGAAAUGUAAUCCUUUUAUUUUCUUUAUUCCUGUCGUAAAAAUUGCUUCUGUGCUUUUGAUUGCAACAAAUAUCUGGUUACUUUAUUUGCUCAAUCUUAGCUUCCCUUUUUGGACCGCUCCUACUUUUGAGUCCACAAUUUUGGCCCACUUGGAAAAACGUUUGUACCCCUCGGGUUUAAGAAGAACAAAAAUCACUGGGAGCAAAUUAAGACCCAACAGGAGUUUUUAUUUCUUUACAAAACAGAAGUGCAGCCUCAUACAGAAACAGAAGGCAGGGAGGUAAAUCUACUCCUCGGGUUUUAACGUGACGACUUGCGACCACUGCACUGAAGCUCUGUUCACACACUGACACACAGUCUGCACAUCACCGCCACUGUAAAAAACAGCAGAUUAAAGCAACAGCUGAGAGAUUACCGCAUCACACAGUUAUGUAAGCAAAUAAAUCACAACCGCAGAAAAAACAAAACAUAAAAAAGUAAGUUUUUCAUCUUCCGCAGGCUCAGAACUGCAACAUAAAAACUGAGUGUUUUACUCUGAAAGCCCAUUAAAAGUUAUUAAAAUAACAUAUUUAGUUAUAAUUUUACGUAAUGUUUAACAGCUGCUAUGCAAAAUGUAUUUUUAACCUCAUAGAAAAUGUUUGCUAAACAGUAAAAGAUUACCUUUAAACUUUGUUUUUCUUAAAGAAGCUUAAAAGUAAUCUUUAAAGCUAUAACAAUUUUUAAAGAGACUUAGAGCUUUAAAUAAUUCUGUAAAAAAAUAAAACAGCUUUGCAAUUUUUUAUCCUUAGCGUCUGACAUUUAUUUGCUUGUUUUUAACAUAACAGUGUUUAGACCAAUUACAUUUCCUGUUUUGCAGAAAGUAGCUUGUGUGUCCGUAAAGCAGCUACUCUAACGAUAUUAUCAAAAAUGUAAACUUGGAAAAAAACAAAAAAACAAGAAGAAAUUAACCAAUUAUUUGUUUUCUGAUUUUUUUCUUUGUUGCGACUCCAAAGAGAAAUUCACAGUUGUCACCAGAUAGAGAAACACUGCAGACAGCAGGACGUGUAACUGGUACAAAAAACCCUGAAAACACCGAGCUAAAGGUUAUACCAGUUUGUUCUUGUACUGCAUGUGACACCUUUCCAAAGCCACAACACAUGAAAAGACCAGAGUGAACAGUUCAUUAUUUAGUCAUCAAAAAGCGCGUUUAAAACAGGAGACUUCACAGUUUAAUUCCCAACACGCGGUACUUAAAGGAAAAAUACACCUUACUGACCUCUGAAAAACAAAAAUGCUGUUUUCUUCUGGCUUAAAAACAACAUUUAUUUUUCACGCCAGCAGCAGCGGCCAUUACAGCAGGAAGUGAAGGCUGAAGGAUGUGGACAGUUACUUUACCCAAGCAUCACAUUUCCUUCUUUAACAACAUAAAGUUUACUAGCUGUAGCAGCACAAAAAUAAAAG